GGUAGAGGCCUCCCUUCCGAGGAGGCGGCACCAGGGCGGCGCGGGCGCGGGGGGCUGGGGCACUGCUCCCUGGCGCGAGCCCGAGCACCCUUCGCAGCGAGGUUCCCGUGCGGCCGGGCCGGCGCGGGCAUUUCCCACCCGCUGUCCUGCCCCUGCAGGCAGCAGCGCCCGUUUUUCUGAGGUGAGAGUCUCCCUCGGGCAGAGGGCCCCGCUGGGGCAGGGGGGCGGGUGCUCGCGUGCGCGGGAUCUCACCUCGAGGCUUCUCGGCCGGGCUUCCCCGCGGGGCGGACGCGUGUUCCUACGCGCUCCGGCUCUGGGGCUAGCGAGGCACCGAGGGGUCGCGGCUCCUGGGGGCACUGUCUAUGGCUGGAGUAACUCAGGUUCUCGCGCCGCACAGGCGGCCUGUGGAGCAAAGCAGCCUCGGAGGAAGCAGAGGCCUCCGCGAACCUCGGGAAAGGGCGUGGAGGGUCUGACCGGGCAGGUCAGCCCGCGGGGCGGAGGCAGCGUGCUACGCGCUGUGAAGCUCGGCGAGAGCGUCGGCCCUAGAGCCCGGAGCGCUUCGCCAAGACCCAGCCAAAGUGUCCGGUCCUGACCCCAGCCCACCCAGGGACGGUCGCGCCCUUCGACCUCUCGCCUCGAUUUCAGUUCCCAGAAACAGUGUGUGCCAUUUUGUGGUGGUCAUGGAAAAGAGAGACCCAAAGGCCUGUCCCUGCAUGGGAUUAGAAUUCGGGGGAAAAAAAAUCAAUAUUUUUUAGUUAGAACAAUUCUAACUCCUGUCGCCGGCCUUGGCUAGUCUGUCAGCCCCCAACCCCACCCACGAGAGCCCCUGGCAGUCUUCAUUCCUUUCACAAUUAAAACACUAGAAGAAUUGAGGCCUUUCAGCUCACUGGUAGCAUGUCCUUCCAUCCCCUGUGCUCCAAGCCAGCCUUUGCAUGAUGUCCUUAGUUUUUUAGUCUUCUGUCACGCUAAUACGUUAUGUCAAUCUAGGGCAGGGAUGUUUCCAUGCAGGCGAUUUUGACAGCAAUCAUCAUACCAAGCUAUUAUGAAGUGUGAUGUCAGUGCGUGCUGGAAGGACGGAUAAUAUAUAAACCAGUUCUUGACACAGUAUCUUACGAGAAAACAUCUGAGGCCAUCAGUAAGAGGCAUUUUAAUUCACACACUAAAAAUAUUUUGUGUUUAGUUGACAUCUUUCAAAAUGCUGAAUGAGAUAGUAGCAUUUAUCAUUUUGUAGGUAUUUAUCAAUGUACUCACAAAAGUCCCCAUAGGAAGGAGGAGGGUUUUCUCUUAUUCCUAUUCUAGGGUAUAAACUGAGAAACAGAGAUGUUAACUGACCUCCUAAAAAGUCCAUAGUGAGUCAGUGGGAGAACUUCAUUUAUGAGAUAAAAAUUUUUUAAAAACUGGGAUAACUAGAAAAGUCAAAUCCAAGUCUAAGUAAAUGUUGAACACUCAAUAUUAUAUAAAAGCCAGAAACUGUAUUUACAUGGGCCAAAUCCCAUGGGAGGCUAAACUGUGGGAAUUAGUUUUAUGAUAUAUAUAUAUAUAUAUAUAUAUAUAUAUAUAUAUAUAUAUAUAUAUAUAUAUAAAAUAUACAUACAUAUAUUUAUUUAUUUAUUGGCCUAAGAUAUGUAUUUCUUUUUCUCCAUCUAUCCAUUCAGUAUUUACUCACUAUUUGUUAUACAAACGUCAUUCUACUUUUCCACUGAAUGUGAUCUCUACAGGCAUUUAAUAAAUAAUUGCAAAAAUGUAACUAAAGUGUAAUUUCCCUAGCUACAAGAAACAAUAUUAUUAGGAAGAGUUAAAAACUGUGUCCUUUUGUUUGUACAGAUGGAAAAUUGUAUUAAUUCCUUCAAUAGUAAGUCAAGGGAGUAAAAUAAACUAGGAACCAGAAAGUUUUCUUUAGCUUAUAUCUUAUUCACAGUGCCAUGAUUUUUUUUUUGUCCUUAAAACUUUUAAAACAAAUUUUUAAAGAACUUACAUGAUUAAAAAGGUUUAUGAUAUUCUUCCAGUUAUUUUGGAAAGCAAAAUUUUUCUUAAAAGGUCUUGCUUCUUAUGUGAUAUGCUGGACUAGCUGGUUUUAUGUGAGUGAAAGCACCAUAUUUUUAAUGAAAAUUAGGUUUAAAAAAAAGUUUAUUUUUUUUUAACCACAAACUGAAAUAAGAGUUACUUACAAUUAAGUCAAGCAAGCAGAACACAUCCCACAUAGUCUUGCAUAUACAUGGUUAAAAGUCAUUGGGUUAACGGCUGGGGUUGUAGCUCAAUGGUAGAGCACUUGCCUAGCAUGUGUGAGACACAGGGUUUGAUUUUCAGCACCACAUAUUAUUAAAUAAAUAAAGGCCCCAUCAACAACUAAAAAUAAAUAAAUAAAUAAAGUCAUUGGGUUAAUAAAAAUAGGAAAACAUUCCCAAUAUAUUUAUCCUAAUUAUUCGUGGUUAUAAUUUUUCUUGGGUAAUGCUUGAGAUUGUUCAGAAGAAUGCUUAGAUCCUUGAAAAUCAAAAUGUUUUGUAUGAAAUCUGCAAGAUACAUCUAAUCACUAUAAAAUUUUCUGAGUAAUAACAUAAGCCAUGAUGUUGGAAAUACUUUUAUCACUAACAGUAAUUUUGUGCUGUAGGACUGAAACUAUAUAACCAGAAUGUGAUUAUAAUAUCUGUGUUUUAACAACUAUAGCAGUUCUUCCAAACACAAUUUAGUAUGUCUUCAUCCAGAAUUAGUCAUCUUAAAAGGCUGUCACUUUGGGGGCCUGGGGUUGUGGCUCAGUGGUAGAGUGCUUGCCUAGCAUAUGUGAGCCACUGGGUUUGAUUCUCAGCACCACAUAUAAAUAAAUAAAAUAAAGAUCCAUUGACAACUAAACAAUAUUUUUAAAAAAUAUUUUUUAAAAAAGACUGUCACUUUUUGGAAAGUGCUUUUAUCAUUCAAACCUCUUUCAGAGCUUCUCAUUGGGCAUUGUUUUCAGCACCCACAACACAUCUUGUUUAAAAAAAAAGAAACACUUGGAGAUAGCUUUACUUAGAGACCUUGAGGCCCUGAAGAAGUCAGGCCAAUAUAAUUUGAGGUCAAAACAAGCUGAAAGACAAUUAGUUGAAUUUUUUUUUUUUUUUAAGAGAGAGAGAGAGAGAGAAUUUUUAAUAUUUAUUUUUUAGUUUUCGGUGGACACAACAUCUUUGUUUGUAUGUAGUGCUGAGGAUCGAACCCAGGCCGCACUCAUGCCAGGCGAGCUUGAGCCACCUCCCCAGCCCCGACAAUUAGUUGAAUUUCUUGAGUGGAUUUUAAACUAGUUCUAAAGUCAUUGUAUUAACAUAGUUUGAACUAUGGCGGCACCAUUGGAAUAAGAGUAUCUGUCAAGGGAGAGCUUUAACAAAAAAUGCUGAUUUGGAACUCAAAAUUCUAUUUGUCAAUGAAUUCCUAUUUUAACUGUCAUGUACGUAUAUAGUGCAUUGGCAUGCUAUAUAGAGACAUAUCACUUCAAAAGGUUAUAUUUUCAACAAUUUGUUUGAUUGAUCCUGAAUUUUAUGAGAAUUCACAAUUCCGGUAUGACUUAAAAAAGCUUUUAAGUCCUAAAAUAUGAAAUUCACCCAUAUCAUGGGUAAAAUUGGGUUGCCCUAUAUAGUUCCACAGAAUUGGUGCUCUAUAUUCCUUGAAAUAUGAAAGAAUCAUACCCAGCUAAGAAUCAAACUUAAUUUGUAUUCUGUCCAAUAAGCGAGGCAUUCCACCAUUACAAAAAACUCAGCUAUCCUUAGACUACAAGUGAGGUCUAAUCUGUGAGCUAAAGCAUUUGUAAUUAUUUGUUGAUUAUGAAUGUAUAUUCCAGAGUACAUAUGUGGUAGAAUUAUUAUGCACUGUUGUAAGUUAAUAGUAUGCUACCUCCUGUACAAAAUACAAAAUAAUGAAACUCCUAAUCUAGUGAAUUUAAACUCUUGUUUGAAGUAGUAGUGCAUGCCUGUAAUUCCAGUGACUCAGGAGGCUGAGGCAGGAAGAUCAUGAGUUUGAGGCCAGCAUGGGCAACUAAGUGACGACCUAAGAAAUUUUAGCAAGAAAUUUUAAAAAGGGCUGGGCAUAUAUGUACCUCAGUGGCAAAAUGCCCCUGAGCUCAAUCUCCAGUUCCUAAACAAACUUACUAUGAUUUUCAAGACCAGAAUAUGGGAGAAGGGGUAGAAAGACCAAAAGGAAAAGAGUCAAGAAGGUAAAUCAUGGAGUUUUUGAACUAUAAUUAAAUUCAUUUGAGGGAAUGAUUUAUAGUUGUUUUCCAAAUCAGAGAACAAUUUAAAACUUGAGGAAAUAAUGCAAUUUCAACUCCAACUGAGACUGUAAAGAGAACCAAGGAAAGCAGAAAGAGUAUAAUUAGCUGAGUAGGACUUUUCUAAGAGUUCAGGUCUAAUGCUUUUAGUAUUAUAUAGAAGGCCAUGAGAUCAUUAGUGAUUAGCAGGAAUCUAGACCAUAAUGAUCAAGGGAGAUCAAGGCCAGUGGAAAAAGAUGAAAGAGCUUUCCUGCUUAAACCAAAUGCUGCAAAUGCUCAAGCUCUUACAUAGGGAAGGUCAGCCAGCAAACAAAGAAAUAGGGCAACAGUCCCAGAGCAACAAGUAAGUUCCCUUCUUUUGCACCAGUUAGAUUGGAUAUGGAGAUUAGCCAAGUUUGAGUUGAGACAAAAAGAAUGCCCUUAUUUCAGCCACUUACAAAGUCUGGAGCUUUUAGUCCUAUUUGCAUUGGUGAGUUUAGAUAUUGCCCAGAAAUUGGGGCAAGUAGACCUGCUGGGCCAUGGACACCAGGAGGUACACCUAACUAAAUGGUCAUUAACAAGGUAGAUUCAAUUCUAGAUUUUUUUUUUCCUAUGGACAGACCUUGCAUUGUUUGACCAUUAGGUAGACAAAACAGCUUCUGUUACGAGUACAGGGGAAGAUCAGUUACCCAGCAAAUCCUCCAUAAAUAAUGACAGUUAUAGAAAAACAGUGGGCAGUGAUUUUAGCCUUCUUUUGAGAUAGCGUAGCCAUGAUGACUGUCCGUCUUCUGUCAAUCUAAGAGUAACCCAAAUAUUUUUUGAAUUGGAGUUUAAAUAUUAAAAGUUUUAUGUAGUGUUUGCAGCUUUAGGAGUGAGGCCAAGUGAGCUCUUAAUUUGGUUCAGGUAGUUAAAACAGAAGUCUGGUUAGGUAUAGCUUGAAGCCAGUUUCUUUCAGAUAGAGACAUUCCCAGGUUUAGAUUUUCAAAAUUCCCAUGUAGCUUCAGGCCAUGGAAUAAGUGGGCAAUUUCCCUAAUAUUGCAAAGUAUCAGGUUAUAGAGUCCUGGACCAGGAGUGGGGAGUAGGUUUACCAUGUACAAGUUGUGUUACUUGAGGACAUUUUAGUUUUCCUCAUAGUAAUAGUCAGUGAGUCUACUUUUCCAGGUUGGUUUAAGCUUCAUCUGAGAUGAAAUAAAUGGAAGAACUUGAUUUAUUAAGUUUUGUGCAUUUGGAGGGUUUUGUGAACUGCUGCAUAGGUUUUGUAGGUUAAGGUAAGGUUGAAAUGUCCAAAUAGUUAAACCAAAAUAUAAAUAAAGAUGGAAACACACUUGAGGACGUAGGAAAAUAGACUAGUUUUAGCAUGGAUUAAUAAGAAGUACUCAGUUACUAUGUCAAGAAUUUUCUUUUUGAUACUUCCUAAGACCUGUUGCAUGUAAAGAAACCUGAUAGCUUCCUUAAUACUAUCAAGCUCAGUUCUGCAGCAUUGGCACUAAAGGAACAAUCUGCUUGUGAAGAGAACUGCCAGGCUUUUAGACCUUGAUUCUUAUACCAUCAAAGUUUCUUCUAAGCAGUUGCAUUAAACCUCAUUACCAUGUUCAUGAUUUAGAGGAUAACAAGAAGCUGACUUGAGUUGUACAUAUUGGCUUAAUUGGUCAGCUAUGAAAUUUUUUAAAUAGUCAUUAUUCUUCCCAUAGUAGCAGGCCAUUUAUGGUGAAGAGAUAAGACUCCCAUCCCUUAGAAGCAAUUUUUAAAAAGUUAGUUUGUGUUUUUCAUUUUCUCCUACUUUCCUCAGUGUAUUUAGAAGAUAACAAGGAUGUAGGGGGAAGGGCAAUUUGCCUCCAGGAUCUUUGGCUUCCACCAACAUAGGGGCAUGGUUCCUAGAAAGGUGGGGAAGUAGAAUGUUCUAGUUGGAUGUAUACUCACCCUUCUGUUGAGUUUCAGGAUCUAACUUACUGAAGAAUAAAAUAGUAAAGAGUAAAAAUAUUUCCCCUUCUCCAAGAUCAUGAUUACAGGGAUGUUUUUUGGAGGUUUGUUUAAGUGUCCUCUACAUAGUAACAUUUCACUAAUUCACAUUGUGUGAAGUAUGAUGUAUUUGAACCAAUACAAUGUAGUGACUAAGGAAGAGGGGUAUUGGAUUCAGAUAGUAUGUGUUUGACUAUCAAAUCUGCUACUUACUAGCUGAGUGACUUGGAACAAUUUCUUAUUAUUUUGAAGUCUCAGUUUCUUUGUCUGCAAAAUGGUAAUAAUAACAGUAUCGACUUGUAAGGGUUGUUGUACGUGAAGUGAGUGCAUAAUAAAUGGACCUAUAUUAUUAGGUUUUGGAGAAUGAGGAGAAAUAUAUGUCAAAUUCUCAUCUUCAAGGAACUUACACUGGAAUGGAUCAAAUAAAAACAAAACUGACAAUAUAGGGUAGAAAAUGGUAGUACCAAGUAAGAGCUGCAAAUAAUGAAGAGUUCAUCAGUCAGCCAAGAGCUAGGGUCAUGGCUAAAGGUUUCAAGGCAGAAGUGGGAAUUUCUGAAAUUGCAGGUGAGGCAGGAUUCAGAUAUGAGAAGACAGCCUAGAUGGCAAGAGGGAGGAGUGAUCAGAACACAGCACAGCAGGGGUAGAAGUGUGGCAGAAUAGGAAGUAUACCAGCCUUUGAACUAGACUGAUAAUCCUAGCUCUGCUGUGAGAUCUUGGUUGGACAAGUGUCUUAACUUUAUCUUCAGUUUCUACAGUUUAAAAUUGAUAAACUGUAUCCAUCACAUUAAAUAGAAUAUAUUGAAUAACAGAAUGUUGGUAAUAUUUAAUAUGAUGCUUUGACACUUUCAAUAUAAUAGAUAAUUCAAAUGAUGUUUUCAGGAAACAAUGAGAGAGCUGUCUGUCUAAAGAACUGUAUUGCCUUAUAUAGGCAAAAGGUGCAAAACAAACCAGGAAGGGCAAUUAGUGCCCAUACGAUGAUAGGGAGGAGGCUUGAGGCCAAUUCAAAGACCUGGGGCUGUUUUAGGCAAUCAAAACUUAUCAAGACUUUCAGUAAAGUGGGAAUUUAGGAUAGUAAAUCUCUAGGCUCUCUGAAGGCUGUCUUGGAGGAAGGAAGAAACUCACUCGAGCAUGUGUAAGGUGAUCAGGGUCUAGAUUAGGAUAGUUUCAAGGUUACCAGACCUCAUCUCCUAAACUGCUUUACAGCUUAGGGCUCCACAGUGUGGAGUGAGGGAGAACAUUUUUGUUUUGUUUAUAGACUCGUAAUAUUUAGUGUCAGUUGAAAACUAGGAUGGAUCUACAACUUUAGAAAAUUGAGCUCACUCAGUAUCCAGAGACUUUCAUAAAAGGUGAGAGGUAGUUUUGAUGCUAAAUAAGCCCUGUAACUUACUUUAGUCUUAUAAAAUAGCCUCUUUAAAAAGCCUCUUUCUGUUGCUAAUUCAGAUCCAGGAGGUUUUCUUCUCUUCUUUUGAUACCCCCAGUUUUCUAGGAUACACAACCACAGAUCCUUCAUAGCUAUAUAGAAUUCAGUUAGGAUUGUCAUAACAAGAGGCACUGGGAUAAAUGGAGAGGACCCAGCCAGACAAUUUGAUGACUUUAUUUAUUUGGUGAUAGUGUAAUUUGGAUGUUAAGAUUCUGUCCUCUCUCUGGGGAUAAGAAGUGAUUUAAUUAAAAACAUAAACCUAGGAAAUAGUUUUGGAUUCUAGGGAAUACAUUUGUAUGGUUUCAAAUUCUCCUGCCACCUCUUUUUUUUUUUUCUUUCUGUGCUUAGUUAUUUUGUAAUGGGAGAGUACAUGGUAAAUAAUUGUAUUCCUAAAGAAAAUAACACUAAGCCAGUAUAUGACUGUAAGCCUGUUGACAGCCUGGGCAACUUAGUGAAACCCUGUCUUAAAAAAGGCUGUGUGUGUAUCUCAGUGAUAGAGAGUCCUGGGUUCAAUCCCCAGUUAGUGGGCAGGGGAAAAAAAGAAAGAAAAUCACACUGAUUAUAUGGACACCAGUUUUAAAAACAGUAGGAAAUCCUGUGGUUGGCCUUAAACAUAUUAAAUAGUCAAGAAUAACCUGACCUAUUACUGAUUUGCUCAACUUUGUUUUCUCUCAUUUAGCUGCAGGAGCAACAUGGUUUUGAGGUACCUGAAUAGUCCAUUGCUUGUAAUGAGGAUGCACACAAAAGGGGAUUGUAUGCAGUGGUUGACAAACAUAGGAUAUAGAUAAGUGACAAGAGAAGGAUAGGCCCUAAAUUAGAGGCAAGGCAUUGCCCAUGGGCAAUGAGUAUAUUUCAUUUCUCAUCUCCUGGGUUUAUUUAAUUUAUCUGCUGGGGUAGGGAGGAAAAAAAGCAUAAUGCUAUAAGGCUGAUUAAGAUGCAAACAUGCAGAUUAUAUCCUGUUCCUGUCACUAUCCUUUUCACUCUAGCCUGGAAGCAGAUGAUGGCCAAAGAGGCCCAACCUAAGGGAAGGGAGGGAAGAAAGUAAGAGUCCACACUUUUUAAUGAAAGAUUUUAUGAACAUAUAUGUACAUGUGUAGUUUAUAUAACAAUAUAUAUGUGGUUUUUUUAUUUCUCCCAUCUGUACCACCAUAACAGAUCAAAGUAGGCCCUGGCUGAAAUCUGGCAGGGGAUUUGGACCAGGAGCAGGUAGCAUUGAAAAGAGGGUCUUCAGAGUGCUGCUGGUAUUCAUUUUGCUGGAGGGACCUCAUCAGAGACCAGCCUUCUCUAUUCCAUGGGUGGCUGACCUUGGAAAGGGCCUACAUGCAGAUUUCAGCCUUGCCCCCUCUUCUAACCUCUGCCUUCUGCUCUGCAAUGGGACCUCUGUUUCUCUCUUCCCCCUCUUUUCAAUUAAAUGAAUUAAUUACCAGGCAUUUAACUUUUUGCCAGACUCUUUCAUUAUGCCCAGAGUUGUUGCUGAGCGGCAAAGGGAAGUAAUAACAUUCGCAGUGAGGGGCAAAUCCUGUUAAUGAACAAAUUAAAGUUCAAACAGUGAUUCAAGUUCACAACCUCUCUGUGGCUCUUCUCUUUAAUAAGAGUUAUACAUGUUACUUUCCCCAGUCUUUUCUCCCUUUUAUUACUUUUUAAGCUUUUCAUCAACACUGCCGGGGCAUAUUUGAGGCUCCUAACCUUUCAGCCUUGACAAGGACUUGAGCAGUUAUAAUCCUGUCUUAAUUUGGCAACUUUUGUAAAACACAUAAAGGGCCCAGGGUCACCUUUGGUCACUAAGGCCUCUGGUGACCCUAUAGUUUCCACCUCUACCAGAGCUGCGUGGGCUGCUUCUCUGGUAUUCAAACCCUUCUAGCAGUCAGGAUCAGAUGACUUCCCAGCCAGAGGCACAGCCAUGUAGGACCAGUCUGCUAGUGUUGGAGCCCUUGCUUCUCUUGGUUUCCUUUCUUUCCUUCAGCCCUCUCCUUCCAAUGGCUGCAGCACAGCGGGAAACUAUAAAGGGAGAAGGAGUCUCUAAACUAAAAACUUGCAAUGUAUAUGAGGAAAUGGGUUUGAGAUAGGAAAUGGCACCCUCCCCACCACCAUACCAAAUGCUGUUCCACAUGCUGAGAGCACCUCACCAUUCUGGUGACAGAAGGCCCAAGCCUCCUUAGUCCUGGUGGGAAGAGGCUGGGUGGGGUCUGGUAAUUGUCUCCUUCCCCCUCCCAUUGUGUGUGUGUGUGUGUGUGCACUGUGGAUUGCGUGGGGGUCUUUCUACCUCAGUGCCUGGCUUCUCACCACCAUCCCCAAGCGUGGCUAAAUAUAAUCACCAUGACAACUGCAAUCUAUGAGCAUACACAUAAUAGAGAUGAAAUAGACAAAAGAUUAGCAUGCCAUGAAAAGUACAAUAAGUUUCUUAUUUAGCAUUUAGAUAACUGUCUUUCCUUCGGAGCAAGCUUCAAAGUUGAAGCCAGUUUAGACCAAGAGGAUUAAUUCUUUCUCCCGCAUGCUUCAUUGAAUCUCUCAUUACCAAACUUUGUCUGUAUUGAUGUAAGAUUUGAUUGAAGAUUAGAGCAUUUAGCAAAUCUUGCUUUUCUGCAUGUAUCAGGUCCUUUCAAGCAAGGAUCGCAGUGCCCAGUGGUCAAUACCCUUACUUUUAUCCAGUGUCUGCUUCAUUUAAACUUAAUCAACUCCAUCAAUGAACUGGAACAGGGAAACGUCCCUGUGGUAAGAAUGUUGUGCUUUUGUGGGAUAAUUCUUUGCUCUUUCCCGAUCCGUUGGCGUUAAACCUAAAAUUGCACUAUGAUGAACUUUUUUUUUUUAAUCAAUAUGAUAAUGACAAUUGAGCCUGAAUGCUCUGGUAGGACUUAGAGUAGAGCAGGAUCUGGCCCCCAUUACCAAAACAACUUCUCAUCUUGCAAUAGCCAGACUCCUAUUGUGUGGCUUUAAUAAUACCUUUUCUUCCCUGACAUUGAAUAUUGCUCAAGCUGGAAAAUGAUGCAUCUUUGUAGGAAAGGCUCGUAUGUCACAACCAGAAAGUGAAGCAGACCGAUUGGUUGUGUGAAUUAUCUGACUUGCUGCAGUGAAUUAUUUGCACUGUUUCCUUACCUAGUCAACAAGUUCCUGAGGUAUAGUAGAGAUCAAUCAAAACUGACAGCCCGAGUGUGAAGGCUUUACUGUGUAAAUCUGGCGCACUCAUCCUGGCCAUGCCGGCCCUGGCAUCUGUAUAUCAUUUUUAUACUGCUACCAGUAGAGCAAUUUCAAAAGUAUUUGCAAGGAAAAUGCGUGUCCCCAUCUGUUCCUGGAAGCAUAAAUGUGCCACCUUCAGAGGGUUUUCACUGGUAAUCAUAUCUUUAAUGAUCAACAGACUAGUGAUAUAUACCUUUCCAUAAAAUGGGGUUUUCUUUACUUUAUUGUGAUUGGCUAGAAUAAAUAGCUUUUCCAUAUGUUAGGGAGAUAAAAUAUAAGAUUAGCAGAGGUCGUUUGUUGGAUACUAAACAAAAGAAACAAUUCAUUCCAAAUAAUCUUUGAAAAGAAGCAGUGACAAAAUUAAGUUGCAAUAACAGAACAUCUGAGGCCCCACAUCAGGAAGCAGACCUUGUUCCUCCUUGGAAAAAGAGCCAUUUAAGAGCAGAAACUUGGAGUCUUCUAAGAGACCCUGGUGGCUUAUAGUCAGAGUUGGGGGAGGGAGAGAAGCAGGGAAGUGAAGGAGGGCUGGAAUAAGACUUGUUUGUUCUAUUGCUUUCCCAUAUGUAUGUUACUGGGUCCUUGGUUGCUCCCACUAUAGCACCCUGGGUAAGUUGGUGGGUGGUGUGUUCAAAGGCAAGGAAAUGUCAUCAUGCUAAAUUUCUCUUUAGGUCUUUUCAGUGAGAGAGAGGCUGUUCAGUACUGGAGAAUAAAGGUUGGCUACUUCUGCUGGUGAUUUUCUUCACCCACAGAAAAGGAGACUUCAGAGACACCGCAGAGGUCCCAGCUUUACAUUAAGUUCCAAAACCUAGCAAAAGGAGCUUUUGGACCUGUCAGAGAACCCCCAGGAAAUGAUUUUAAUAGUAGAAUCCUACCUGUCCUGGUCACAGUCCUAUGCAAUCCUAGGCUCUGACCCCCUCCCCUUCCCACAAGUUCACACACAGACUCCAAAGGGUGCCAGAAGCACUUUCUUCAGAUGCAGCCCUUUUCAAUUUUGCUGAUUUGGAAGCUUUUCCUUCAGGAUCUUAGGCCUAGAUAUUUGAGACUAUGAGUGCCUGAAUAGGAAUAUUAAAUUCUGUUUUGUUUCUAGAGCUAAGAAAGAACCAUUAGUUCCAGGACAUCAAAAUUUCAACAAUGCCCCAGUCUCUGUGCUCUCCAGAAAAUAGGUUUGAGCUUUGUGGACCUGUUCCCCACAAAUCAGGAAUUGAGAAUGGGAGUGGAAAUUCUCUAUAAACAUUGAGAACAGACCCACUUAGUAACUUACAAUUACUGUACUUUUGUAUUUUUUUCCAUUAUGUAUUGUUACUGGUGUCUUUUUUUCAUUGGAAUAGUGGUGGUGAGGGAUCGCUAUCUUUUCUGUAUAUCUGCGCUUCUCCUGUGUAUUCACAGAAUUCUGCCCUCUCUCCAGAUGCCUUCUGCUCUCAUUGUAGCAGGAGUGUGUAGCAGAAUGUGUGGGUGUUAAUUUCAAAGUGGGAAAUUAGGUCUGCAGGCAGGUCCCAAGCAAAAAGUACCCAUUAACAUUUUAAACCUAAUGCAUGUUAAUUUCCCCAGUGAGUCUUGGGAAUAGCUCAGAAAAAGAUGAGUUAGUCAUUGUAGAAACAUUUUCUUUUAAAACUUCCUCUGAAUUUUAGAAAUAUAAUCAUAUAGGCUGGGUUGCCCAUAGGCAGGUGUAGAUUUACAAGUAAAUUAUACUUUGUUUGACCUUAUAUCUGAUUUACUCUUGUAUUGCAAUUAAGACUAAAGGGGAAGUCACACUUGUUUCCACAUUGUGGUGUGAUGCAUGCAGGUCUUUUGCUUGUGACAAGAAAAUUCUGGCAUAUAUUGUGUAUGAAACACGAUUUGCAUUCAAUUAAAAAGAUCAAGUUUCCUAAUUUAUACAUAUUUAAAUUUGAUGCUGUUUUGUAUUGAAUUUCUGUUAUUUUCAGAAAAUGAAAAAAGAAAACCUCCUUGACUAGUUUUGUGUAGAAGAGGUAAAUCUGUGAUGUUUGCUUCUUCUCUUGCCUAGGAGAAAGAGGCUGUUGCUUUGCAGUUAGGACCAUUUCACAGUACAUGCCUGGAGGUCCUAUUUAACUCAUAAACCUCUGCCAGGAACUGUUGCUGUGUAUUCCAGAGUGGAAGUUACCUGUGGAGCUUACUUUUGGCCUCAUGUUGGCUGAGGUUCAAAACCAUAGAACUUUAGGCACCCAAAAAGGGGACUCAGGAUACCCACAUUUCUACAAACCUAGACUGGAGUCAUUUGCAGUAGAGUCUUUUGCUGGUUCAUAACCAGACCCUGUGUACACAUGUACAUCCAUUGCAGAGAUAAAGUCUUGGCAUCUAUAGGGCAAGUAUUGAAAAAUUUUAAAACUACACACUGUUCAGGGUGAAAAUUACCUACACUUUGACAAUGCUGUCUCUACCCUUCCACAGUCUCACUGCUACCAAACAACCUCAGUCCAUAUUUAUUUUACUGAAAAUGUACAUAAUCUCUGAUGAACUAUUAAAAUAUCUAAGAAUAUAGUUUCUUACCAAUUUAUUGAAAAUAAAACCCCCCUUGUCUUAAAAAAUAUUCAACUUACACUCUAAUUCAGAUAUUUGAAAAGAUAGUUUAAUAGUGUUCAUUUGCAAUACUGCUUCAUGAUUAUAAUAUAUAUAAGUAUGUAGUAGUAUUUGUUUUUUAGGUGCCCCUUAACAAGACAGGGAUGAGCAGGUAGUAUGGUGUAUUGGAAAGAAAUUGUAUUUGAAAUAAGCUUAAGCUCCUUUGGUUAAGGAAAAUAAACUCGAUUGAUAGUUAAUGUGAAAUGAACAUUUAUAAUUUGGUAUGAGGUAUGGAGAAAAUGCCAUCUGGAUCUUUAAAAGGCCAAGGUGUAUGAAGUUAUCAGUAAAUGAUAUUUUGGGGGCGUUGAAGGUUGUUUUUUUGCCCUUACUGGAUCUAAACAGCAUAGCAGUAAUAGUUGUGGUCACUCCACUCUUUUACUGGGAAUUUCCAUCUUGUGCAGAAGGAAAUAGCAGGAAAAAAAACUUGAAGAGUUAAUAGCUUGUCUAAAGGAUAUUAUUUCCAGCCAGAAUUUCUACAGUCACCCCCUGUGAAUACUGCUAAGGGAUGUGUUCCAAUUUUAAGUCAGAGCAACUGGGUUAAAAAAUAUAUAAGAUCUGGAGAAACGAGUUUACCUUACGGGGAAAGAGGGAGUAGAAAGGAAGCAAAAUUAGUUUCACUGUGCGGCCAAAGGACUCCUGGUUCGUGAGGUGGAGAAAUUUGGAUUUCUAGUCAUCACCUUGCCAGCCCAUUGCCUGAGAAUCUUGGAGGAAGUAAUUUUGGAAAGCAAGUUGUGGGUAGCUGGUAUUAAAUGAUCCCGGUCUCUUCCACUUAUUCGGCUUCUGCCCAAAGACUUCGAGGUAUCUUCAUCUGAUUGCCCUCCCCUGCCCCAACACAGACACUGAGGAAGCCACAGAGGCCACCGGGAGCUGGUUGGCCAUCUGAUGGGGGGAGAUCCCGUCCCCAGUGGGAGUUCAGGAUGCCUGUGGAGGUGCCUUCGACUCUGUGAGGAGCGGCUGGGCGAAAAAGGCUAGUCGGUGGAGCUGGACUCAGCCCCGGUCUCCCUGACACGUGACCCAGGGGCUGAGCUUGGGAGCCUGAGUGACCACAGAUCUCACUGCGGGGAAGCGAGACUCCUUUGCCCUACGCCUUCCCGCAAGCCUGGCCUGGAGAGCGGAGACGACCUGGGGACCCCGGCGUCGGGCCUAAGACACACUUCGGGCGUGGUGGGAGUGUCUUUCUGCGCCCUGGAGGCUGCUGGAGAGCGCAGGCCGGACUCCCAAGUUUCCUUCGCCGCGGGUUAACCCCGUAGUUAGAUACCUGGGAAGGAGUGGAGUCGGGGCUACGUCCCUCCUGCCUUUCCCCCUUGGCGCCCCACGUAACCUCCCAGGGGACGCAGACGCGGGGCCCAAGCGCUCGGGUUUCUUCGGUUCCCUGAGUGUCGGGCGAAGACCAGGCGGCUGGACAGGCGCGACUUAAUCUCCAGAGCUCUGCCAGCGAAGGGACUAGGAAUCUCCGCCGCUACCAGCGGCCUCGCCUUUGGACCCCCUUUCCCCAGACACUUCUGAGGAAACGCCCCCAGGGGCGAGAGCCAGGCCUCUUCCCGAGUCCGCACUCGCUGACCCGGGGGUGGGCCUUGCUCCUCGCCUUUGCCCAGGCCGCUGGCCGGCUCGCGGGCCCCUAGGGCAGGUCCCGGGCGAAUAGGCCCUUCGUACCCCUCCCCGC
rnacentral:lncRNA from 1 species